CGGUAUUAGCACCGUCAAAUACGCCGUCCUUAUAGCAGACGCCGUAAAAAACGCGCGUAAACCGUAAAAAACGCCGCAAAAAACGGCGUUUUAGUGUUUGUAAAAAGCGCCGCUUUUAACGCCGUCGGCUUGCCACAGGACGCCGUAAAAAACGCCGUUCUGAAUGCACAAAAGCGCGCGUUAUUUACGGCGUUUUCCUUGUAGUAUAAUGAGCCACGCUCGCUGAUUUCCACAGCCAGUAAUAAUGAACUGUUCUCAUCCAAUCAAUGAUGACCUGACUCAGACCAGACUAGUUUACAUCCGAGUUCGAUUGUUAUUUUAAUCACUCGAUUGGUUGGUUGGUUGAUAUGAAGAUGGCCAGGAGAAUCUUUAUUUUGCGUUGUCAGCAGAAGCUGAACAAUUGCACUCGACAGCUGACAGAAGAUUCUGGUGUACUACAAUCAACUUUAGUGAGGUAAGGAUUGCUUUGUUUCAGAUUAUAUAAAACAUGGGCGCUGUCCUGCAACCAUUUUUCUCCAACUGCAAUUAAACACACCUGAUUCAGCUAAUCAAGCCCUCAACAGCAUACUGGAAACUUCUAGUCCGGUGUAUUGCAAGUUGAGCUAAACUCUGCAGGACAGUGAUCUUCUACGACUGAGCUAGAAACAAUGUAGAGAAGCAUUGAAUGGGCGAGAGGAAGGCUGAUCACUGCACCAGAAGCAGACGAGUUACUCCAAGAUCUCAAUGAAUAUAUAGCAGAGGUACAAAAGCAUAGGCAGCAUGGACAACAAGCCAGUUCCAGUUAUCAGGCUCCACUCUGAUCGAGGUGCACCCCAUUACAGCAUCACCAGAGAGCAACUUUCUUUUCUGAGGACAUGUGGUUUUAGUCUUCCUUCAAUAGCAGAGAUUCUGCAAGUGUCUCUGGCUACCGUCAAACGCCGCAUGGAAGAGAUUCCAUUUGAAUCGCUCUCUGACUUAAUCUGAAAUAACCGAUGUAGAUCACAGACAUUGUGGAUGGAAAUGACCAGCUGGGAUCGGAGGCUGUCAGGGCACAGUUACGGGCAGGUGGAAAUCGUGUACAAAGACACAGAGUACGCAGGAGCUUGGUUCAAAUUAACCCAAUUGCAGCAGCACUACGGGCCAUGUCACAAAGACCACACAGAAGGUUGUACAGUGUUGCUGGUCCAAACUCCCUGUGGCACCUAGAUGGCAACCACAAAUUGAUAAGAUGGAGAAUUGUCAUUCAUGGUGUUAUAGAUGGCUACAGUCAUCUCAUAGUCUUUCUCCAUGCCUCAAACAACAACCACAGCAGCACUGUAAUGCCUUCUAGGGUCAGAACAGACCAUGGAGGAGAAAACCAUGAUGUCUGUGUGAUGUUGAACAUUUUCAGGGGCUCAGAGAGAGGCAGCGCAAUAAGAGGCAGGAGCGUUCACAACUAAAGAAUUGAGAGGCUCUGGGGUGACAUGUGGCGGGGAUUGACUAAUGUAUAUUACAAUCUCUUUCACUUCCUGGAGGCUGAAGGUAUCUCUGACAUAGACAAAGAAAUGCACAUAUGGGCUCUUCACUUUGUCUAUGUGCCGAGGAUCAACAGGUGUUUAUCAGCCUUUACUCAACAGUGGAACAACCAUGGGCUGAGAACAGAACAACACCAGACACCCAUGCAGAUAUUUGUUCGAGGCUGCCUGGAACAACAAGGACAGCGAACCACUGCAAUGGAAGAGAUCUUUGGCAGAACAGCUGGACCAGCAGAUGAACCUGUUCUUCAGGCACCGGCAGCAGAAUCAAGCUUGCAGGAGGCACCAGUGUUUGACUGGCCAGAGGGAGUAGCUGUUCCUCAAAGUGACUUCACAUUGGAGAGUGCUGCCUUAGAGCAACUUGUUGCACAAAUUAAUCCACUUGGUGGUUCAAGGGGACAACUCAGAGUGGAUGUCCUUCAAAACAUUUUAUCUCUUUUGAUGUCUCUGAAUCCCCAACAUUAAAGAAAAAUAAAUGGUUAUUUCUGUAAUCACAGAUUAUGGUCACCACUGACUAAUUAUAUGGACACUGAAUUUUUGGUGAGCCAACCACUGAAGUUUGUCGUGGGUGUGGAUAGAUCCACUUGAAGUUAUAUUUUGAGUAGCGGUUACAAUAUUUAAGUAUGGUUAAAGGGUUAGCUCACCCAAAAAUUAAAUUUGUCAUUAAUUACUCACCCUCAUGUUGCCCCAAACCUGUAAGACCUUUGUUUGUCCUCAGAACACAAAUUAAGACAUUUCUGGUAAAAUCCAAGGAUGAUCCACAUAAGCAGCAACGGUACUGCAUCUUUUGAUGUCCAGAAGGGUAUUAAAAGCCAUUGAUAGUGUUUCAACAAUAAUAUUAUAAAGUGACGUGAAUAGUUUUGGUGCGCAAAAACAAAACAACUUUUUCAACUAUCUAGUGAAGGACGAUCUCUGAACAAUAUUUCACGAAGCUUCAAUUCUUUAUGAAUCUUGUUUAGAAUUAAUCUCAUAUUUCAUCUAAAAUAUCUAUCAUUUGUGUUCUGAGAACUAACGAAAGUCUUACAGGUUUGGUACAUUAUGAGGGUGAGUAAUUAAUGACAGAAAUUUCAUUUUUGGGUGAACUAACCAUUUAGGAUGGCAUGAAAUUUUAAAGAAACAUCACCAAUAGCAUGUUCACCAUUUGGAACUUGAAAAUAAAAGUUUCUAUUUCCCACAUUAAGUGUCCUCUGA